rnacentral:rRNA from 1 species
GAUGAACGCUAGCUACAGGCUUAACACAUGCAAGUCGAGGGGAAACGACAUCUAAAGCUUGCUUUUGAUGGGCGUCGACCGGCGCACGGGUGAGUAACGCGUAUCCAACCUGCCCAUCACUUGGGAAUAACCUUGCGAAAGUAAGACUAAUACCCAAUGAUAUCCCACGAAGGCAUCGGAAUGGGAUUAAAGAUUUAUCGGUGAUGGAUGGGGAUGCGUCUGAUUAGCUUGUUGGCGGGGUAACGGCCCACCAAGGCAACGAUCAGUAGGGGUUCUGAGAGGAAGGUCCCCCACAUUGGAACUGAGACACGGUCCAAACUCCUACGGGAGGCAGCAGUGAGGAAUAGUGGGCAAGGGGCGAGAGCCUGAACCAGCCAAGUAGCGUGCAGGAAGACGGCCCUAUGGGUUGUAAACUGCUUUUAUAAGGGAAUAAAGUGGGUCACGUGUGACUUUUUGCAGGUACCUUAUGAAUAAGGACCGGCUAAUUCCGUG